AUUGACCUCGGAUCAGGCAGGGAUACCCGCUGAACUUAAGCAU
rnacentral:rRNA from 1 species